UACGUAGGGAGCAAGCGUUGUCCGGAAUUAUUGGGCGUAAAGCGCGCGCAGGCGGUCCUUUUAAGUCUGAUGUGAAAGCCCACGGCUCAACCGUGGAGGGUCAUUGGAAACUGGGGGACUUGAGUGCAGGAGAGAAAGAGUGGAAUUCCACGUGUAGCGGUGAAAUGCGUAGAGAUGUGGAGGAACACCAGUGGCGAAGGCGACUCUUUGGCCUGUAACUGACGCUGAGGCGCGAAAGCGUGGGGAGCAAACAGG
rnacentral:rRNA from 1 species